rnacentral:lncRNA from 1 species
UUCCAUGCUUCACUGUUUCGCUAUUGGUGAAAAUAAAACUUUGAAACUGUACUUGUGAACAUGUAUCGUAGGUUCAACUGAUGGCUAUAUAGUUGAAUAAGAAUACAGAGAAUUGUACACACAUAAAUUCAAAUAGGUACCAUCAGUCACACUGACAAUAAUCAAGACUGCAACAAAUACAGAUAGAUCUUUGCAAUGAGCAGGUCUUUCGGUUUCUCUUGCUCCAUGGCAUCUGAUCUGUUCACUGAAAAUCAAUCAGAGAAAUCAUUUACAAACUAAUAGAGACAGCUCCUAAAUCAGCAACUGUAUGCCAGGAACGUAUAGACAACUUGUUCAUGAUACAGUAGAUAGUGCAGUUUUUCAAGCACAUGCACAAACAGUACUUUUGUUCACCGCGGUGGUGCCCAAGUGCUAUAUGAAAAUAAAUUAUAACACUAUUCAUGAAGGGCUAAAAACACCGGCGUACAACUUAUAAAGACUAUUUGCAGUCUGAGUGCAACAUAAGCACAUUGUUUUAUUACUUAUAACUGCUAUGUUUGGUAGAUCAAUGAGCCUUAUGUUUUCUAUUUAUCUAAAGUUUUUCAUGUCCCGUCAUCGUUCUACUAAUGUUCAGGCUGUCAGAAAAGAAUUUUUGAGCGGAGGGUCCUUUUGUAAAAACUUUACCCUCCUCCGAUCCCACUAGUGGAAAUUGGAACUUCACUGUGGGGGUGGGGGGGCGGGGGUAUGUUGUUGUAGAAACAGUGGAAUAAGACAUUCUGUUUAAAGAUUUCAGUGGGAGAUAAAUUUGUUUCCCAGCUUAUGAAUGGUGUAAGUUUGUCAAUAUUCCAUGCUUCACUGUUUCGCUAUUGGUGAAAAUAAAACUUUGAAACUGUACUUGUGAACAUGUAUCGUAGGUUCAACUGAUGGCUAUAUAGUUGAAUAAGAAUACAGAGAAUUGUACACACAUAAAUUCAAAUAGGUACCAUCAGUCACACUGACAAUAAUCAAGACUGCAACAAAUACAGAUAGAUCUUUGCAAUGAGCAGGUCUUUCGGUUUCUCUUGCU